GGGAGGUGUUUCUGGCCAGAAACUAGCCACACAUCUGGCGAUCUUGCAAGAGGCGACAACUGAUGUCAAUCCUAAAAGGGCAGCAGUCCUAAAGGCACUUUGGAGCUACCUUGGCGAGGAUGUUGGACAUCUCAUCAGGAGUAUAAGGACAUUGAAGGCGAUGACAUCCGGAGAGACCUGCAAAAAUCCACCAUGGGCAUAUAUGUCAUCAACGAGGAGCAUGGAGAAAUUGGAGCUCACGAUGAUAUUGGCAUUAACGUUGAAGGAGUA